rnacentral:misc_RNA from 1 species
AGAGAGUAAUUUCACUUAAUGUACCUGUGAAGUGAAGAGCCAGUCCAGUAGUAAGGGUUUUGAAACCUCCAGUUGCUUUAUGUCUUUCUAAAACAAAGUUGCAGGAUUUCCUUCAAUUUGUUCUGUGGAGUCAGAGGACGCAAAGCCAGUGAAGAUGAAAGAAGAAGAGAAAGCGGAAGCUGAUGAAAAGAGUUUAAGUUCCAUUCCCCAAGCCCGUAAGAAGAGUAGGAAGAAUCCUACAAAUGCUGGUACUUUAACCACCAAA